ensembl:lncRNA
GGCAGGUCGGACUGCGUGUUUGCUCGUUUUGUCCCGGAGCUAUGCCACGCUGAGGUCCCGACUGCCCUGACCCGUUUUGGACUGCUGCUGCUUUGUGUGGGGAUAAAACCCACACUUUUUACGGACCUUGCCUGCUGCUGCGUUCGGGUGCUGAGGGCCUCACUGGUGAUCCUGUUUGGUGAUGGUCGGACUGCGUGUUUGCUCGUUUUGUCCCGGAGCUAUGCCACGCUGAGGUCCCGACUGCCCUGACCCGUUUUGGACUGCUGCUGCUUUGUGUGGGGAUAAAACCCACACUUUUUACGGACCUUGCCUGCUGCUGCGUUCGGGUGCUGAGGGCCUCACUGGUGAUCCUGUUUGGUGAUGGUGUCCCUUCGUGUGUAGUGUCUUAUUCACUCCCCUCCUUUGUUUUGCUUUGCCCUUGUGUGUUUGGAGUGUUAAUUUUGGAUUGUGGUGCUCCCAUUUUAAGUUUAUACUUUCACCCCUCACUCACCUUGAGCACAAAUGCCCCAGCCCUGGAAUACAUGAUAAUUUAUACAAAUAGGAUAACUUUUUUAGAUUUGAAUUGUGCCCAAUAAACUGUUGUAUAUGCUUUUGGAAACACGUCUCUCGCCUGCUCAGUGUAACG